UUGAACGCUGGCGGCAUGCCUAACACAUGCAAGUCGAACGGUAACGCGAGGAGCUUGCUCCUUGGCGACGAGUGGCGGACGGGUGAGUAAUGCUUGGGAAUCUACCCAGUAGUGGGGGACAACAUUCGGAAACGGAUGCUAAUACCGCAUACGCACUACGGUGGAAAGUGGGGGAUCUUCGGACCUCACGCUAUUGGAUGAGCCUAAGUCGGAUUAGCUUGUUGGUGAGGUAAUGGCUCACCAAGGCGACGAUCCGUAGCUGGUCUGAGAGGACGAUCAGCCACACUGGGACUGAGACACGGCCCAGACUCCUACGGGAGGCAGCAGUGGGGAAUAUUGGACAAUGGGCGCAAGCCUGAUCCAGCAAUGCCGCGUGUGUGAAGAAGGCCUGCGGGUUGUAAAGCACUUUCAGUAGAGAAGAAAAGCCUAGGGUUAAUACCCCUGAGUCUUGACGUAACCUACAGAAGAAGCACCGGCUAACUCCGUG
rnacentral:rRNA from 1 species